GUUGAGAUAAGAGAAGCUACAUGAUUUAGCUUUGUAUAGAGACUUGUACAUUUUGUGUAUACUCAGUGUAUAUUUUUGGUAUAUCCAUAGUAUACCUUGUAAUUGGGUUGUCAUUGGGCUAUGAUGAUUUGUGUAUCUUAGCCCACAUGUCAUUAUUUAAUUUUGGGCCGGAUCACCCGACCCGACCCGACCCGUCCGUGUGUAAUAUGUAUAUAUUGUAGGUGCGAUAUUUUGUCACCUAGCGGAUUUAAUUUCCUCUCAUUUUUCUCUGUAAUAAUAUUUCUCUCAUUUCCAGAGAGUUCCAAACGCUCUGUCUUCUCUCUACUUUCUCUCUCUACAGUUUCUAUGAUUUCUCGGUCUAAUAUCAAUGUUUACA
rnacentral:lncRNA from 1 species